AUUGAACGCUGGCGGCAGGCUUAACACAUGCAAGUCGAGCGAGCGGCGGACGGGUGAGUAAUGUCUGGGAAACUGACUGAUGGAGGGGGAUCACUACUGGAAACGGUAGCUAAUACCGCACACCUUAGGUUGUGCCCAGAUGGGAUUAGCAAGUAGGUGGGGAAAUGGCUCACCUAGGCGACGAUCUAUAGUGGGGCUGAGAGGAGGAUCAGCCACACUGGGACUGAGACACGGCCCAGACUCCUACGGGAGGCAGCAGUGGUGAAGAUUGCACAAUGGGCGCAAGCCUGAUGCAGCCAUGCCGCGUGUAUGAAGAAGGCCUUAGGGUUGUAAAGUACUUUCAGCGGGGAGGCGUUACCCGCAGAAGAAGCACCGGCUAACUCCGUGCCAGCAGCCGCGGUAAUAC
rnacentral:rRNA from 1 species